GAUGAACGCUGGCGGCGUGCCUAAUACAUGCAAGUCGAGCGAACAGACGCGGAGCUUGCUCCUCUGACGUUAGCGGCGGACGGGUGAGUAACACGUGUAUAACCUCCCUAUAAUACUGGUAUAACUUCGGGAAACCGGAGCUAAUACCAUAUAAUAUAUUGAACCGCAUGGUUCAAUAGUGAAAUUCGGUUUUGCUGUCACUUAUAGCUGGAUCCGCGCCGCAUUAGCUAGUUGGUACGGUAACGGCUUACCAAGGCAACGAGGCGUAGCCGACGUGUGAGGGUGAUAGGCGGCACUGGAGGUGGGACGGGGUCCAGACUCCUGCGGGAGGCAGCAGAAGGGAAUCUGCGGCAGUGGGCGGGAGCAUUGCAGAACAACGGCGAGUGAGUGGUGGAAGUCUUCGGAGCGUGAAACUCUGUUUUUAGGGGAAAACAGAUGUGGAAGGAAAUGUACAGGUAGUGACGGUAAUGAAUAAAAAAGCACCGGCUAACUACGUG
rnacentral:rRNA from 1 species